AUGCGGGACUCAUCAGAGGCCUCGCAGUUGGAAUGAGCGCACUUUAAUUCGUUCGACGAGGAUCUAUUGGAGGGCAAGUCUGGUGCCACAGCCGCGGUAAUUCCAGCUCCAAUAGCGUAUAUUAAAGUUGUUGCAGUUAAAAAGCUCGUAGUUGGAUCUGGGGUUCGGGUCGGCGGUUUGCCGCUUCGGCGGCUACUGCCGUGCUCGACUCUUACUAGCCGGUGCGUCUUGCGGUGCUCUUCAUCGAGUGCCGUAGGAGCCUGGCAUGUUUACUUUGAAAAAAUUAGAGUGCUCAAAGCAGGCGAUUCCGCCUGAAUAGUGUUGCAUGGAAUAAUGGAAUAGGACCUCGGUUCUAUUUUGUUGGUUUUCGGAACUUGAGGUAAUGAUUAAGAGGGACGGUCGGGGGCAUUCGUAUUUCGGUGUUAGAGGUGAAAUUCUUGGAUCGCUGAAAGACGGACAAAUGCGAAAGCAUCUGCCAAGAACGUCUCCAUUAAUCAAGAACGAAAGUCAGAGGUUCGAAGACGAUCAGACACCGUCCUAGUUCUGACCAUAAACGAUGCCAACUAGCGAUCCGCAGUGGUUGCUAUAAACGGACUCUGCGAGCAGCUUCCGGGAAACCAAAGUGUUUGGGUUCCGGGGGAAGUAUGGUUGCAAAGCUGAAACUUAAAGGAAUUGACGGAAGGGCACCACCAGGAGUGGAGCCUGCGGCUUAAUUUGACCCAACACGGGGAAACUCACCCGGUCCGGACACUGUAAGGAUUGACAGAUCGAGAGCUCUUUCUUGAUUCGGUGGAUGGUGGUGCAUGGCCGUUCUUAGUUGGUGGAGUGAUUUGUCUGGUUAAUUCCGAUAACGAACGAGACUCUAGCCUGCUAACUAGUUGCGCCGUGUUCAUACGCGGCUGUAGACUUCUUAGAGGGACAGGUGGCGUUUAGCCACACGAAAUUGAGCAAUAACAGGUCUGUGAUGCCCUUAGAUGUCCGGGGCCGCACGCGCGCUACACUGAAGGAGUCAGCGUGUGCUAUCCGGGCUCGGAAGAGUUCGGUAACCCGUUGAAACUCCUUCGUGCUUGGGAUUGUGGCUUGUAAUUAUCGCGCAUGAACGAGGAAUUCCCAGUAAGUGCAAGUCAUCAGCUUGCGCUGACUACGUCCCUGCCCUUUGUACACACCGCCCGUCGCUACUACCGAUUGAAUGGUUUAGCAAGGUACUCGGAUUGGUCUCGAUCUUGUACGAAAGUGCGGGAUCUGUGGCCGAGAAGAAGGCCAAACUUGAUCAUUUAGAGGAAGUAAA
rnacentral:rRNA from 1 species